rnacentral:rRNA from 1 species
UACGUAGGGCGCAAGCGUUGUCCGGAAUUAUUGGGCGUAAAGAGCUCGUAGGCGGUUUGUCGCGUCUGCUGUGAAAACCUAAGGCUCAACCUUGGGCUUGCAGUGGGUACGGGCAGACUAGAGUGCGGUAGGGGUGACUGGAAUUCCUGGUGUAGCGGUGGAAUGCGCAGAUAUCAGGAGGAACACCGAUGGCGAAGGCGGGAUCCUGGGCCAGUACUGACGCUGAGGAGCGAAAGCGUGGGGAGCAAACAGG